rnacentral:rRNA from 1 species
AUGUUGGAGGAAUUGAGAUUAUCAGACAACUCCAUAGCCAUCACAGUGAGCCCAACUUGGGUUCCUCCUUUCAGUCUAGGAAUAAUUGUACUUCGGUCCUGUCAGCUAGGGCCAAAAUUCCCAAUGUGGCUUAGAUGGCAAACACACGUAAUGAGUCUUGAUAUAUCAAACACAAGCAUAAACGAUAUAAUACCGGAUUGGUUUUGGACAGCAGCUUCCUCAGUAGCGUUUCUGAAUAUCCGGAAUAAUCAGAUUACAGGAUUCCUACCAUCAACAAUGGAAUUUAUGAGAGCAGAAGUCAUGGAUUUCAGUUCUAACCAGCUUGGUGGUCCAAUACCUAAGCUUCCCAUCACUCUAAUCGACCUGGAUCUCAGUCGGAACAAUCUAGUUGGGCCACUACCAUUAGACUUUGGAGCACCAGGGCUUGAAAAACUAUUUCUAUAUAACAACAUGAUCUCUGGGGCCAUUCCAUCUUCUUUGUGCAAGUUGCGAUCAUUGCGGUCAUUAGAUCUAUCAAGAAAUAACCUCAAUGGAUCAAUUGCUGAUUGCCCAGUCAAUGAGUCCAGCUCAAACAUGACAGAUCUGAGCAUUGUUAAUCUAAGCUUCAGAAACAACAACCUCUCUGGUGAAUUUCCUUCACUUCUCCAGAAAUGUCCACGACUCAUCUUUCUUGAUCUUGGACAUAAUCAAUUCUCUGGGGCUUUACCAGCAUGGAUUGGGGAGAAGCUAUCAUCUUUGUCAUUCUUACGACUGAGAUCCAAUAUGUUUUAUGGUCACAUUCCAGACGAGCUUACGGAGCUUGUUAAUCUUCAAUACUUGGACCUUGGCUACAACAAUAUUUCAGGGAGCAUACCGAGAUCUAUUAUCAAUUGCACAGGCAUGACACAAACAAGAGACAAUGAUGAUCUUGGGGAUGCAUUCACUUCUGGAGUAUAUUCUGCUGGCAGUGACCUAGUUGACUAUACUGAGAAUUUCACAGUACUCACGAAAGGUCAAGAGAGAUUAUAUACAGGAGAAAUCAUAUAUAUGGUGAAUCUUGAUUUAUCCUGUAAUAAUCUUAUGGGAGAGAUCCCUGGAGAAAUCAGCGCUCUUGUAGCAUUGAAGAGCCUGAACUUAUCAUGGAACAACUUCAAUGGAAAUAUCCCUGAGAAUAUUGGCGCCUUAAUGCAGGUGGAGUCACUUGACCUAUCACACAAUGAUUUGUCCGGUGAAAUCCCUUCAAGCUUAUCGGCUCUCACAUCAUUGAGUCGCCUGAACCUGUCCUACAACAAUCUGGGAGGGAAGAUACCAACUGGAAAUCAGCUGCAAACACUCGAAGACCCGGCCUAUAUUUAUAUUGGCAACCCCGGCCUCUGUGGUCCUCCUCUCUCCGUAAAUUGUUCGUCACAGCCCGAGCCAAUUCCAGGAGAAAACCACGGAGAUGCAAGCGACGACUUGGUUUCGCUUUUCCUAGCCAUGGGCUCUGGAUAUGUGAUGGGUCUCUGGUUGGUCUUCUGUACCUUCUUAUUCAAGAGGAGAUGGAGAGUUUCAUGGUACUUGCUCUGUGACAGCCUGUAUGAUUGGGUUUAUGUGCAUGUGGCUAUUACCUGGAGUUCCUUGAGAGGUAAAAUCAAUGGGUAG